rnacentral:rRNA from 1 species
CCUACGGGAGGCAGCAGUAGGGAAUCUUCCACAAUGGGCGAAAGCCUGAUGGAGCAACGCCGCGUGGGUGAAGAAGGUCUUCGGAUCGUAAAACCCUGUUGUUAGAGAAGAAAGUGCGUGAGUGUAACUGUUCACGUUUCGACGGUAUCUAACCAGAAAGCCACGGCUAACUACGUGCCAGCAGCCGCGGUAAUACGUAGGUGGCAAGCGUUAUCCGGAUUUUUUGGGCGUAAAGGGAACGCAGGCGGUCUUUUAAGUCAGAUGUGAAAGCCUUCGGCUUAACCGGAGUAGUGCAUUGGAAACUGGGAGACUUGAGUGCAGUAGAGGAGAGUGGAACUCCAUGUGUAGCGGUGAAAUGCGUAGAUAUAUGGAAGAACACCAGUGGCGAAGGCGGCUCUCUGGUCUGUAACUGACGCUGAGGUUCGAAAGCGUGGGUAGCAAACAGGAUUAGAUACCCCGGUAGUC